UACGUAGGGUGCGAGCGUUAAUCGGAAUUACUGGGCGUAAAGGGUGCGCAGGCGGUCCCGCAAGUCAGGCGUGAAAUCCCCGGGCUUAACCUGGGAAUGGCACUUGAAACUACGGGACUGGAGUAUGGCAGAGGGAGGUGGAAUUCCACGUGUAGCGGUGAAAUGCGUAGAGAUGCGGAGGAACACCGAUGGCGAAGGCAGCCCCCUGGGCUAGCACUGACGCUCAGGCACGAAAGCGUGGGGAGCAAACAGG
rnacentral:rRNA from 1 species